GACGUAGGGCGCGAGCGUUGUCCGGAUUUAUUGGGCGUAAAGAGCUCGUAGGCGGUUUGUCGCGUCGUCCGUGAAAACUCACAGCUUAACUGUGAGCUUGCGGUCGAUACGGGCAGGCUAGAGUUCGGUAGGGGAGACUGGAAUUCCUGGUGUAGCGGUGAAAUGCGCAGAUAUCAGGAGGAACACCGGUGGCGAAGGCGGAUCUCUGGGCCAUUACUGACGCUGAGGAGCGAAAGCGUGGGGAGCGAACAGG
rnacentral:rRNA from 1 species